rnacentral:tRNA from 1 species
GGGCCCGUGGUGGAAUCGGCAGACGCACUCACCUGACACGUGGGUGCUCCGCAAGGAGCGUGGGGGUUCAAAUCCCCCCGGGCCCA